UCACAACUUGUCAACAAGAUGUGUUCGCAACAGGCUUGCAGCAAGCUUGUCAACAAGUUGUAACAAUGCUGUUAUUUUAUCAAGUUGCUACAAGGUUGUCACUCACAACUUGUUGACAAAUUGUUGAAUUGCAGGACGAUAACAAGUUGUUGGAACAACUUGUAACAAGUCUGUUGAGCUCAACAACCUUGUAGCAAGUUGUCAACAAGCCAUUGACAACUUGUCAACAAGCUGGGAACAAGCAGUGCGAACACAUCCUGUUGACAAGUUGUUGGAACAGCAUUGCUACAAGUCUGCUGCAGGUUUGUUACAACUUGUGCGUUUUUG
rnacentral:lncRNA from 1 species